rnacentral:rRNA from 1 species
CAAUGGGCGGAAGCCUGAUCCAGCCAUGCCGCGUGUGUGUAGAGGGCCUUAUGGUUGUAAAGCACUUUAAGCGAGGAGGGAGGCUACUUAGAUUAAUACUCUAGGAUAGUGGACGUUACUCGCAGAAUAAGCACCGGCUAACUCUGUGCCAGCAGCCGCGGUAAUACAGGAGGGGUGCGAAGCGUUAUUCCGGAUUUACUGGGCGUAAAGCGUGCGUAAGGCGCCGUUUUUAAGUCGGAAUGUGAAAUCCCCGAGCUUAACUUGGGAAUUGCAUUCGAUACUGGGAAGCUAGAGUAUGGGAGAGGAUGGUAGAUUUCCAGGUGUAGCGGUGAAAUGCGUAGAGAUCUGGAGGAAUACCGAUGGCGAAGGCAGCCAUCUGGCCUAAUACUGACGCUGAGGUACGAAAGCAUGGGGAGCAACCAGGAUUAGAUACCCUGGUAGUCCAUGCCGUAAACGAUGUCUACUAGCCGUUGGGGCCUUUGAGGCUUUAGUGGCGCAGCUAACGCGAUAAGUAGACCGCCUGGGGAGUACGGUCGCAAGACUAAAACUCAAAUGAAUUGACGGGGGCCCGCCCAAGCGGUGGAGCAUGUGGUUUAAUUCGAUGCAACGCGAAGACCCUUACCUGCCCUUGACAUACUAGAAACUUUCCAGAGAUGGAUUGGUCCCUUCGGGAAUCUAGAUCCAGGUGCUGCAUGGCUGUCGUCAGCUCGUGUCGUGAGAUGUUGGGUUAAGUCCCGCAACGAGCGCAACCCUUUUCCUUACUGCCCAGCAUGUCAGGAUCGGAACUUUAAGGAUACUGCCAGUGACAAACUGGGGGAAGGCGGGGACGACGUCAAGUCAUCAUGGCCCCUACGGCCAGGGCUACACCCCUGCUACAAUGGUCGGUACAAAGGGUUGCUACCUUGCGAUAGGAUGCCUAUCUCAAAAAGCCGAUCGUAGUCC